rnacentral:rRNA from 1 species
GACGAACGCUGGCGGCGUGCCUAAUACAUGCAAGUCGAGCGCAGGAAACUGACGGAACUCUUCGGAGGGAAGGCAGUGGAAUGAGCGGCGGACGGGUGAGUAACACGUAAGGAACCUGCCUCAAGGAUUGGGAUAACUCCGAGAAAUCGGAGCUAAUACCGGAUAGUUCAACGGACCGCAUGGUCCGCUGAUGAAAGGCGCUCCGGCGUCACCUUGAGAUGGCCUUGCGGUGCAUUAGCUAGUUGGUGGGGUAACGGCCCACCAAGGCGACGAUGCAUAGCCGACCUGGGAGGGUGAUCGGCCGAACUGGGACUGAGACACGGCCCAGACUCCUACGGGAGGCAGCAGUAGGGAAUCUUCCACAAUGGACGAAAGUCUGAUGGAGCAACGCCGCGUGAGUGAUGAAGGUUUUCGGAUCGUAAAACUCUGUUGUAAGGGAAGAACACGUACGAGAGGGAAUGCUCGUACCUUGACGGUACCUUACGAGAAAGCCACGGCUAACUACGUGCCAGCCGCCGCAGUAA